AUUCACUUGAUAUUUGCGCCAUAGUAGUUGAGUUUACUUAAGGAGUUCUUUUUUGAUUAAAAGCAAAAGCCAAAUCAAAAAUUUGUUGAUAGAAUGCGUGCAAUAGUGUUGAUACUUUUGAUCUCACUUGUUUAUCUUGGAAGUGUUGAAAGUAUUACGAGCUUAACUUGGCCAGGGUCAAAAAGAGAACAAAAUUACAAAAGAGCGGCAGAAAUUGUUGUUGAUAAACUUGUAUCAAAAUUGAUGACGAUGAUAGAUGACGUGGAGUUGUUAGAUGAAUGAUACAUCUAAACAGCAAAUAGAAGAAAUUGAAGUUAAUUGAAGAUUAUAAAUAAUAAUUGAUGAUAUGAAAACUAUUAAGGGAAAUUAGA
rnacentral:lncRNA from 1 species